GGGGCCGACCUGGUUUUGACAGCGGCUUGGUGGUGUGUGUAAGCAGGCCGAGCGUGAGGUGCGGCUCGUUAUCCCAGUGCCUCAACGCCAUAACUGGCAACGUAGACUACGCUCUCGCAGCUUAAUAGCCUAAGGCUAUUCCGCUUAAUCCACGCGAAUAACAGUAGCGUGGACGAGUGCCCCUCGGGGAGGCCCGUCAUCCUCCUUCCCGGAACCGGGGUAUCAUCUUGGAAGACUGGCUCAUGCGGUGGUCCGUAGCAUGGGUAAGACACAGGACCUAAGCCGUCACUAGGGUGCCCUUUCCCAGGUGAUGGUCGAAAACCAAUAAAGUGGCUAAGCCUGAAGAAAGCGCAUGGCACGGUCGUUUGGACGAGGGUUCGAAUCCCUCCGGCUCCACAA
rnacentral:tmRNA from 1 species